rnacentral:rRNA from 1 species
AUUGAACGCUGGCGGCAGGCCUAACACAUGCAAGUCGAGCGAGCGGCGGACGGGUGAGUAAUGUAUGGGGAACUGCCCGAUAGAGGGGGAUAACUACUGGAAACGGUGGCUAAUACCGCAUACUCUCGGAUGAACCCAUAUGGGAUGAGCUAGUAGGUGGGGUAAAGGCUCACCUAGGCGACGAUCGCUAGCUGGUCUGAGAGGAUGACCGUCCAAACUGGACCUGAGACACGGCCCAGACUCCUACGGGAGGCAGCAGUGGGGAAUAUUGCACAAUGGGCGCAAGCCUGAUAAAGCCAUGCCGGGUGUAUGAAGAAGGCCUUAGGGUUGUAAAGUACUUUCAGCGGGGAGGCGUUACCCGCAGAAGAAGCACCGGCUAACUCCGUGCCAGCAGCCGCGGUAAUUC